UAAGGGCUAGUUUUGUGGGCAAAAGCGUAAAGGGUGUGAUAGGCCGUUUUAAUUAAAAAGGGUUUUAUAAUUUAAGAAGGUAAAUGGAAUUUUUUUGUAGCGGUGGAAUGUGUAAAUAGAAAAAAGAACUUUAGACGUGAAGACUAUUUAUUUUUGAGAUUAUAGUGUGAUGGCUAAAACACGAGAGUAUGGGGAGCAAACAGGAUUAGGGACCCUGGUAGUCUAUACUGUAAAUAAUGAAAAAGAUGUGAAGCAAUCCUAAAAAGUCAGAAAUUUUCCGCUUGAGUAGUACGACCGCAAGGUUAAAAUUCAAAAAACUUGGCUGUUCACUGUUUUAAUUAGAGGAGCGUGUCGUUUAAUUCGAUAGUCCGCGAGAGACCUUACCCAAACUUGAAUCCUUCAUUGACAGGUAUUGCAUG
rnacentral:rRNA from 1 species